CAGCCGCCGCGGUAAUACGAAGGGGGCUAGCGUUGUUCGGAUUAACUGGGCGUAAAGGGCGCGUAGGCGGAUCUUUAAGUCAGGGGUGAAAUCCCGGGGCUCAACCUCGGAACUGCCUUUGAUACUGGGUGUCUCGAGUCCGGAAGAGGUAAGUGGAACUGCGAGUGUAGAGGUGAAAUUCGUAGAUAUUCGCAAGAACACCAGUGGCGAAGGCGGCUUACUGGUCCGGUACUGACGCUGAGGUGCGAAAGCGUGGGGAGCAAACAGGAUUAGAUACCCCCGUAGUCCCUGUCUCUUAUAC
rnacentral:rRNA from 1 species